rnacentral:lncRNA from 1 species
CGCCGCCAUCCAGCCCUAUACAGUCUUUUCCUUUCUCUGGUGGCUAGUGGACAUCAUGCGAGCCAGGUCACCACGGAGGUGCUGCCCCAAAGAGAGAGCAAGCGUAGCAUGGAAAUCUCCUGUCUGCCCCAGCUCAGGAGCAGCCUGGGGUUCCGGAGAUCACCCACUGGGAUCACCCGCCUGGGCGCCUGGAGGAAAGACACUCUGUGAAGACCCACAGAGAGCAGAGGUGGAGGGGACAUGGAGACACAGUAGCCAACUUACUGGGGGAGAUGAAGAGGCUGACUUGCACAGGAGUGGAACGACCUUCCCUGACCUCAUUUUCAAGUCGGUGCGAGCACACCCGGAGCCCGCACCGCACAUUCCGGAGAAGGAAGAAGAAGCGCGAGCCACACUCACACACCCACACUCUCAACCAU